ACACGACCGUACCGCAAACCGACACUGGUGCGCGAGAUGAGUAUUCUAAGGCGCUUGAGAGAACUCAGGAGAAGGAACUCGGCAAAUUGACACCGUAACUUCGGAAGAAGGUGUGCCUUUAGUAGGUGAACCUGUACAAGGGGAGCCCAAUGAGGUUGCAAAAAAUCGGUGGCUGCGACUGUUUAAUAAAAACACAGCACUCUGCAAACACGAAAGUGGACGUAUAGGGUGUGACGCCUGCCCGGUGCUGGAAGAUUAAAUGAUGGGGUGCAAGCUCUUGAUUGAAGUCCCAGUAAACGGCGGCCGUAACAAUAACGGUCCUAAGGUAGCGAAAUUCCUUGUCGGGUAAGUUCCGACCUGCACGAAUGGCGUAACGAUGGCCACACUGUCUCCUCCUGAGACUCAGCGAAGUUGAAAUGUUUGUGAUGAUGCAAUCUCCCCGCGGAAAGACGGAAAGACCCCAUGAACCUUUACUGUAGCUUUGUAUUGGACUUUGAACAGAUCUGUGUAGGAUAGGUGGGAGGCUUUGAAGUGUGGUCGCUAGAUCGCAUGGAGCCAACGUUGAAAUACCACCCUGGUGUGUUUGAGGUUCUAACCUAGGCCCGUAAUCCGGGUCGGGGACAGUGCAUGGUAGGCAGUUUGACUGGGGCGGUCUCCUCCCAAAGCGUAACGGAGGAGUUCGAAGGUACGCUAGGUACGGUCGGACAUCGUGCUAAUAGUGCAAUGGCAUAAGCGUGCUUAACUGCGAGACUGACAAGUCGAGCAGAUGCGAAAGCAGGACAUAGUGAUCCGGUGGUUCUGUAUGGAAGGGCCAUCGCUCAACGGAUAAAAGGUACUCUGGGGAUAACAGGCUGAUACCGCCCAAGAGUUCAUAUCGACGGCGGUGUUUGGCACCUCGAUGUCGGCUCAUCUCAUCCUGGGGCUGUAGCCGGUCCCAAGGGUAUGGCUGUUCGCCAUUUAAAGAGGUACGUGAGCUGGGUUUAAAACGUCGUGAGACAGUUUGGUCCCUAUCUUCCGUGGGCGCUGCAGAUUUGAGGAAGCCUGCUCCUAGUACGAGAGGACCGGAGUGGACACACCUCUGGUGUAUCGGUUGUCACGCCAGUGGCAUUGCCGAGUAGCUAUGUGUGGAAGAGAUAACCGCUGAAAGCAUCUAAGCGGGAAACUCGUUUCAAGAUGAGAUCUGCCGGGGCCUUGAGCCCCCUAAAGAGUCGUUCAAGACCAGGACGUUGAUAGGUCGGGUGUGGAAGCGCAGUAAUGCGUUAAGCUAACCGAUACUAAUUGCUCGUGCGGCUUGACCAA
rnacentral:rRNA from 1 species